GACAACGCUGGCGGCGUGCCUAACACAUGCAAGUCGAACGAAGAAUGUUUUUCGGAAUAUUCUUAGUGGCGGACGGGUGAGUAACGCGUGAACAAUCUGCCCCGUACAAAGGGAUAGCCUCGGGAAACCGGGAUUAAAACCAUAUAACACUUAACUGCCGCAUGGUAGUGAAGUCAAAUCGAUUAAGAGGUAUGGGAUGAGUUCGCGUCUGAUUAGCUAGUUGGUGAGGUAAGGGCUCACCAAGGCGACGAUCAGUAGCCGGCCUGAGAGGGUGAACGGCCACACUGGAACUGAGACACGGUCCAGACUCCUACGGGAGGCAGCAGUGGGGAAUAUUGCACAAUGGAGGGAACUCUGAUGCAGCGACGCCGCGUGAGGGAUGAAGGCCUUCGGGUUGUAAACCUCUUUCAGCAGGGACGAAGCGCAAGUGACGGUACCUGCAGAAGAAGCACCGGCCAACUACGUG
rnacentral:rRNA from 1 species